AGGUAAGCUACUAAGAGCGAAUGGUGGAUGCCUUGACUGGUAAAGGCGAUGAAGGACGUACUAGACUGCGAUAAGCUACGGGGAGCUGUCAAGAAGCUUUGAUCCGUAGAUUUCCGAAUGGGGCAACCCAAUGUAUAGAGAUAUACAUUACCUAUAUAGGAGCGAACGAGGGGAAUUGAAACAUCUUAGUACCCUCAGGAAAAGAAAUCAAUAGAGAUUGCGUCAGUAGCGGCGAGCGAAAGCGCAAGAGGGCAAACCCAGUGCUUGCACUGGGGGUUGUAGGACUGCAAUGUGCAAGAGGUGAGUUUAGCAGAACAUUCUGGAAAGUAUAGCCAUAGAGGGUGAUAGUCCCGUAUGCGAAAAACAAACCUUAGCUAGCAGUAUCCUGAGUAGGGCGGGACACGAGAAAUCCUGUCUGAAGCUGGGUCGACCACGAUCCAACCCUAAAUACUAAUACCAGAUCGAUAGUGCACAAGUACCGUGAGGGAAAGGUGAAAAGAACUGAGGUGAUCAGAGUGAAAUAGAACCUGAAACCAUUUGCUUACAAUCAUUCAGAGCCCUAUGUAGCAAUACAGGGUGAUGGACUGCCUUUUGCAUAAUGAGCCUGCGAGUUGUGGUGUCUGGCAAGGUUAAGCAAACGCGAAGCCGUAGCGAAAGCGAGUCUGAAUAGGGCGCUUAGUCAGAUGCUGCAGACCCGAAACGAAGUGAUCUAUCCAUGAGCAAGUUGAAGCUAGUGUAAGAACUAGUGGAGGACUGAACCCAUAGGCGUUGAAAAGCCCCGGGAUGACUUGUGGAUAGGGGUGAAAGGCCAAUCAAACUUCGUGAUAGCUGGUUCUCUCCGAAAUAUAUUUAGGUAUAGCGUUGUGUCGUAAUAUAAGGGGGUAGAGCACUGAAUGGGCUAGGGCAUACACCAAUGUACCAAACCCUAUCAAACUCCGAAUACCUUAUAUGUAAUCACAGCAGUCAGGCGGCGAGUGAUAAAAUCCGUCGUCAAGAGGGAAACAACCCAGACUACCAGCUAAGGUCCCUAAAUCUUACUUAAGUGGAAAACGAUGUGAAGUUACUUAAACAACCAGGAGGUUGGCUUAGAAGCAGCCAUCCUUUAAAGAAAGCGUAAUAGCUCACUGGUCUAGUGAUUUUGCGCGGAAAAUAUAACGGGGCUAAAGUAAGUACCGAAGCUGUAGACUUAGUUUACUAAGUGGUAGGAGAGCGUUCUAUUUGCGUCGAAGGUAUACCGGUAAGGAGUGCUGGAGCGAAUAGAAGUGAGCAUGCAGGCAUGAGUAGCGAUAAUUAAUGUGAGAAUCAUUAACGCCGUAAACCCAAGGUUUCCUACGCGAUGCUCGUCAUCGUAGGGUUAGUCGGGUCCUAAGUCGAGUCCGAAAGGGGUAGACGAUGGCAAAUUGGUUAAUAUUCCAAUACCAACAUUAGUGUGCGAUGGAAGGACGCUUAGGGCUAAGGGGGCUAGCGGAUGGAAGUGCUAGUCUAAGGUCGUAGGAGGUUAUACAGGCAAAUCCGUAUAACAAUACUCCGAGAACUGAAAGGCUUUUUGAAGUCUUCGGAUGGAUAGAAGAACCCCUGAUGCCGUCGAGCCAAGAAAAGUUUCUAAGU
rnacentral:rRNA from 1 species